GAUGAAGGUUUUCGGAUCGUAAAGCUCUGUUGUUAGGGAAGAACAAGUGCAAGAGUAACUGCUUGCACCUUGACGGUACCUAACCAGAAAGCCACGGCUAACUACGUGCCAGCAGCCGCGGUAAUACGUAGGUGGCAAGCGUUGUCCGGAAUUAUUGGGCGUAAAGGGCUCGCAGGCGGUUUCUUAAGUCUGAUGUGAAAGCCCCCGGCUCAACCGGGGAGGGUCAUUGGAAACUGGGAAACUUGAGUGCAGAAGAGGAGAGUGGAAUUCCACGUGUAGCGGUGAAAUGCGUAGAGAUGUGGAGGAACACCAGUGGCGAAGGCGACUCUCUGGUCUGUAACUGACGCUGAGGAGCGAAAGCGUGGGGAGCGAACAGGAUUAGAUACCCUGGUAGUCCACGCCGUAAACGAUGAGUGCUAAGUGUUAGGGGGUUUCCGCCCCUUAGUGCUGCAGCUAACGCAUUAAGCACUCCGCCUGGGGAGUACGGUCGCAAGACUGAAACUCAAAGGAAUUGACGGGGGCCCGCACAAGCGGUGGAGCAUGUGGUUUAAUUCGAAGCAACGCGAAGAACCUUACCAGGUCUUGACAUCCUCUGACAACCCUAGAGAUAGGGCUUUCCCUUCGGGGACAGAGUGACAGGUGGUGCAUGGUUGUCGUCAGCUCGUGUCGUGAGAUGUUGGGUUAAGUCCCGCAACGAGCGCAACCCUUGAUCUUAGUUGCCAGCAUUCAGUUGGGCAC
rnacentral:rRNA from 1 species